UAAUUAUAAAUUAGAAUUUAAUUUUUUAAUCAAAAAGUUAAAAUAUAUUAAAAAGACGAGAAGACCCUAUAGAGUUUUAUAGUUUAAGAUAAUUAAGAUUAUUUAUAAAAUAAAAAAAUUGAAAUUGUUUCAUCUAUUGUGUUGGGGUGAUAGAAAAAUAUAAAAAACUUUUUAUAAAUAAAAACAUUGAUAAAUGGUUAGAUGAUCCAAUAUUAUUGAUUAUAAGAAAAAAUUACCUUAGGGAUAACAGCGUAAUUUUUUUUUUUAGUUCACAUAAAAAAAA
rnacentral:rRNA from 1 species